UGAGGAAUAUUGGUCAAUGGGCGAGAGCCUGAACCAGCCAAGUAGCGUGCAGGAUGACGGCCCUAUGGGUUGUAAACUGCUUUUAUGUGGGGAUAAAGUGCGUGACGUGUCAUGCAUUGCAGGUACCACAUGAAUAAGGACCGGCUAAUUCCGUGCCAGCAGCCGCGGUAAUACGGAAGGUCUGGGCGUUAUCCGGAUUUAUUGGGUUUAAAGGGAGCGUAGGCUGUCUAUUAAGCGUGUUGUGAAAUUUACCGGCUCAACCGGUGGCUUGCAGCGCGAACUGGUCGACUUGAGUAUGCAGGAAGUAGGCGGAAUUCAUGGUGUAGCGGUGAAAUGCUUAGAUAUCAUGACGAACUCCGAUUGCGCAGGCAGCUUACUGUAGCAUAACUGACGCUGAUGCUCGAAAGUGCGGGUAUCAAACAGG
rnacentral:rRNA from 1 species